AGGAGGAAAUGGAGGAUGAGGAGGGUGGUGCCGAGGGGUGCGGGAGCCGCUGGAGCUCUGCCUGCCCCUGCCCUCCUCCCCCCCACUCCUCACCCCGUCCUCCAGACUGGAACUGAGCGAUCCCCAGGGUCCUGCCAGCACCCAGGGGCUGGGCGCGAGCACAGUGCUUGCACAUCAUAAGCUCUCCAUGUUUACUGAAGGAAUGAAUGAAGUAGGCCCAUAAGCUGCACCCGGAAGGUUGGAUUGAGUCAGUUGGCAUUUAUCAUCGUACCGAAUGCAUCCAAUCCCAUGCCUACCUGUGCCAGGCAGUGUGCUAAGUGUCCAGGAUAUAAAGAGAGAUCCCCUGAAACUUUUGGAGUGCGGGAGUGUCAUGGCCGAACCUAUGCUGGAGAGCAGAAAGCCCUGAGGCAGGAAGACCAGUGGGAAGGCUACUGAUCUGUCUUGCCAUUCCAUUGUCUUCAAGGUCCACAUGGUAAGUGAGCCAGAGUCUUUCUGUGCCUUCCAUGAGUCAUUCAGAGAAAUGAGGCCAGCAGUCCUUUCUGCAGUCAAAUAGAGAGACAACAUCAGAGAAUCUCUCACGUUCAACUCCAUUUAAGUGCUGCUGGCUCAAGGUUCCUUGCAAAGGACAAAAGUGUCUUGAGAGAUGGUGUCUGUUGCAGGAUCAUACUGGUCAGCACUUCCUGCACCCUCCUGCAUGGGCUUUGGCAUUGAAAGGUAAAUGAAUAUUAGAAGAUCAUCCAGGCAUAGGCCUAGCUCACAAACCUGUGUUUGCCCCCUCUAUGAACUCCCAGAUGUUUUCUGCUAACUCUAGCUAUAGCUUAAUGUGGGAAAUUGCCCCUAUUUUGACCAAGAGUGGGAAUGUGAAGGAGGAUACCCUACUGGGAUCCGGGCCAGGUCCCUUCUAGGCGUAUCUCACUGAUUAACUACCUAAGGUUCCCAGGAACUAGCCAUUCCUGGGGACUAUAAACAAUUCCAGGAGUAGUCCUGGGGGGUUGGCUCCCCCUCAGGAGUAUGUCCUGGGAAACUAAAUGUUUAUUCCAACUUCUCUGGCAGUGAUCCUGAGCGAACUCACUUGGUGUCAAUCAUAAAAUUAGCUCAUCAUACAAGCCACUUUUGGUGGCUACAAGCCACUUUUGUUUAAAGUCCUAUAUAAGUUAAAGUCAAGCUCCCACCUCUUUGGAGUCUCACCCAUGGAGAGGAUGCUCUGCCUGGGAUAUUCCCAAUCGGGACUCUGGGAGGCUGUACCGGGACCCCCAGCCAAUGGACUCAGGAGGUGGUGCUUCCCCGAUUUGGUGAUGUAUUUUCCCUUUAAAUCUCUACAUAGUGGUUGCUUUUGCUUUAAUAGUUACAUUGUUAGGCUGCUUACUUUAUUGCUGCUGCCAAACUACUAUCUCUU